CCCUCAGCUUCAUGGGAAACCCUUUCUGAGCAUCUUAAAAGAGUUCUACCGCAUGCUACAGAACUCAGCAGGAAUGGCCCAGUUAGCUCUGCGAGCACAUCCCGAGAGGCUCAGUGGGCAGUUGUGGAUUUCAGCCCUGCCUCUACUUCAUCAUCCCCACUCUGAAAUCUUACCAAUCAAGACAGCCGAGUGCCUCGGGAGUCAGCACCAACAAAUGUGACGCCACCAAAUGGAACUAGAGGAGUGAGAGGCAGCUCCAGCGAAGAAGUGCCCGAGUCCCUGGUUGUGUCGAUCACUGUGACGUGCUGCUCUCUGCAUCCAAAAUGACUGAUGGGCCUGUAAUUUGUUGUUGCUGUUGCUUUGGCAUACAUUUGCAGAAGCAAACUUGUUCACGGUUCCCCUGCUGAAAGCUCAACCAUCUGAGUGCCAUAGGAAACAGACUUUGGCAUUUUAGCUGCUCACAGACUGGGUCAUCCAUAAAAGUUUAAUUUUCUAAAAAUA